GGGGUUGUGGCUCAGUGGUAGAGUACUUGCCUAGCAUGCAUGAGGCACUGGGUUCAAUCCCCAGCACCA
rnacentral:tRNA from 1 species